UAUCGAACGAGAUUCCGUCCUGCUAACUAGUUGUAGCGUCACUCUUGCGCUGAGAAUUCUUCUUAGAGGGACUGGCGGCAUCUAGCCGCACGAGAUGGAGCAAUAACAGGUCUGUGAUGCCCUUAGAUGUUCUGGGCUGCACGCGUGUUACACUGAAGGGAUCAGCGUGUCCUCCCUGACCGAGAGGUCCGGGUAACCCGCUGAACCCCCUUCGUGGUAGGGAUCGAGGCUUGCAAUUAUUCCUCGUGAACCAGGAAUGCCCAGUAAGCGCAAGUCAUAAGCUUGCGUUGAUUACGUCCCUGCCGUUUGUACACACCGCCCGUCGCUA
rnacentral:rRNA from 1 species